rnacentral:rRNA from 1 species
GGAAUCUUGCGCAAUGGGCGAAAGCCUGACGCAGCAACGCCGCGUGCGGGAAGAAGGCUUUCGGGCUGUAAACCGCUUUCAGCAGGAACGAAAAUGACGGUACCUGCAGAAGAAGGAGCGGCCAACUAUGUGCCAGCAGCCGCGGUGAUACAUAGGCUUCAAGCGUUGUCCGGAUUUAUUGGGCGUAAAGAGUUCGUAGGCGGUCGAGUAAGUCGGGUGUGAAAGUUCUGGGCUCAACCCAGAGACGCCACCCGAUACUGCUUAACUUGAGUUCGAUAGGGGAGUGGGGAAUUCCUAGUGUAGCGGUGAAAUGCGCAGAUAUUAGGAGGAACACCGGUGGCGAAGGCGCCACUCUGGAUCGACACUGACGCUGAGGAACGAAAGCAUGGGUAGCAAACAGGAUUAGAUACCCUGGUAGUCCAUGCGGUAAACGGUGGGCACUAGGUGUGGGUUUCUAUUAACGAAAUCCGCGCCGUCGCUAACGCAUUAAGUGCCCCGCCUGGGGAGUACGGUCGCAAGACUAAAACUCAAAGGAAUUGACGG